GUUCAUGCUGCAUUGAGUGGCCACGUCCACAAAAAGCAUUCGUGGCACAUAGGACACCAUACAUUGAUAAUUUAAUAUUUUUAAUGGAAUUUAUUAUUUUCAUCUACAUUUUUGGUUCCACUCCCUUAGACACACUACUAGGUGUGGAAAUUUCCCCGAAUCCAACCACACUCUAGUACACUCCAAAAAUGAAAAAUAUUUUCCUCGUAUAGAGUUCGCAUUUGGUACUUAUAAAAGUACAAGCCGCACGAGCAUCAUUCUCACACUUUUCUUAAGUUCAUCACUCUUGAAGUUGCUGAAAAAUUAAGAAUUUGGGAAGGGUUUUUAUUUGUGUUAACUGUUAAUUCAAUUCUAUGGCAAAGGAAAUGAAGUUCUUUGUAUCAUUUGUUGAGUUUGCACCCGCACCUAUGAUUCCACUUAAAAAGGUUUCACAUGCUCCGGUGUUAGAAACUAUCGUGGAAGAAAAAGAGGCUGCAAAAUAAAUUAUUCAAGUGUCACUAAUAAUCAUUUUAUAAGGUUCUUGAUGAGAUUCAAACUUGGAGAAUUUGAGGUUACAAGAUUAAGGUUUUUGUUUUUGUUUUUGUUUUGUUUUGUUAAGUAGUCUAUUGACUAGAAAUUUCAUCUAGGUACCUUCAUUGAAUUGGAUGCUAAACUCUUUCUGAACUAACUCUAAAGUGUAACUCUAGAAGCUAUAUAUUGUUGUGUAAUUGUUCACUUUCAUUUGUUGUAAAGAAUGUUGUUUCACAAUCGACCAAGUGUUUUUGUUGUCAAUUUUGUGGUAUAUUAAAGGUUUUGUUUCUUGUUUAAUUAAUCUUUGUUUUUUUUGUUAUGUUAAGAGUGUCACAUUGGUUGAGAGAUGGCCUGACUAAGUGUUUAUAUAUUAGAGACAAUCCUCACCUUACAAGUCGGUUUUGAAAGGAUGAGUUAGACUCAAUACUCAAUUCUAAGAUGGUAUCAGAGCCUCUCCACGACCCGUUGGGCCACCUGUUAUCGGGUUUCCGCUAUCGGACCACCUACCGUUUAUAUCCACGCACCAAGCCCAAUAGUGUUGGGCGUGAGGGGUGUGUUAAGAGUCCAACUUCGGUUGAGAGAUGACCUGACUAAGUGUUUAUAUACUAGAGACAAUCCUCAACUUACAAGCUGGUUUUGUAAGGAUGAGUUAGGCUCAAUACUCAAUUAUAAGAUGUUACAAGUUGAUUGAUUAAACUAUUUGUAUACGAUUGUUAUUAGCCUCAGCCGAUAUGAGUUGAGAAAUUGUGGCUAAAUAUUUGCGAACAUAGACCAACGCAGUUCCUAACCUGAAAAGAACGAUCUUGCUGAAGAAAACUCGAUUGCAAUAUCAUACACAGUUGCAUAGAGGCAAUGUUAAUUGUGUUUUUUUUUUUUUGAAUGAAGAGCCAAUGUUAAUUGUCACGAAUGAGGGCCAACAUCUUUUUACUCUAAAUCAAUGUUUCUUCUUGAGACACACCAAUUAGUCCUAGGAACAUAGGCGUAGUGGGGUGUAAAAUACAAAACUUUAAUUGUGUACUAUUGUGGUACUUACCUACACAAAGAAUCAGUGUGAUUUUUUUUUUUUCUAUAAGCUAGAAAUUUAUUUAAGAAACUAGUUUGAAGAUCAGCACGAAUUCGAUAUUUAAUUUCGU
rnacentral:lncRNA from 1 species